AGUUGGGUAGUUCAUUUCUGUCAAAGGUUUAAUAUUCAGAGAAACCUAUUUUUAAAGUCAAUUCAUUGUAACGUUUCAUACUCAUUGCGUGUUUUUUGGAAUCGGAACUAUGAAUUAUGACCCACUGGAAGGAACUUCUGAACUUUUUGCUUCAGUUUUGGGUGAUGUCCCCGAGGAGGAAUGGGAAUCGUUUAAAGAACAGCAGAGCAAAUUAGGAAUGCUUGUAGUUGGUUCUGACAGUGAAGAUGACAGUGAUUUCUCUGACAGAUCAAUAUCACCAACUGGUGAUGAAGAAUUUGUUACUAACUUUGAAGUAGUUGAAGAAGAUGUGAAUGAAAGUGGGAGUGAAGCAUCAGAUGCUGAAAGCUCAAAUGAAGGAACAUCAUGGGGCUGCGACGCUGCAUUUAAAUAUGUUAAUGGAGAAAUAUCUUUUUCUGAGCUAAGUGAGAUCAUUGAAAAUGAUAAGUUCAAAGCUCCACCUCGGAAGAAAAUGCGUAAAGAGAAAGAAGAAGUUGAACCAAGACCAUUAACACAGUUGGAAAAGGAAGAUCAAGAAUAUCAAAUGGAAUUGAAGAAUAAGAAAAAAAGAACCCGUAGAAAAAUGUGUCAUUUGCCCAAAGAAUUGGAAGGUCUAAUGGGAGCAGCAAAUCUCAAUUUUGCUAAAGGCAAUACAGAAGAUGCCAUAAAAAUGUGCAUGGAGCUAAUUCGAACAGCUCCCACUGCUCAAGAGCCGUUUCAAACACUGGGAGUCAUUUAUGAGGAAUUGGGAGAGCCAAAAAAGUCUUUUCAGUGUUAUUUGGUAGCAGCCUACUUGAAUCCUUCUGAUACAGAUGAAUGGAUUCGUUUAGCAGAAUUGUGCCUUGAGCAAAAUCAACUUCAACUAGCAAUAAGUUGCUACACCCAAGCUAUUCGUAAUGAACCAAGUAAUGUAAAUUUUGUAUGGGAGCGAUGUAAUUUAUAUGAGCAGAUUGGAGAUAGGAAAAAAGCUUUGCUUGGUUAUGAACAAAUUUUAAGGCAUUUAAGUAAUCCUGAAGAUGGUCAAACAUGUGUUGAUAUGUCCAGAGAAAUUGCAAAGGUUCACCAUGGAAAUAAUGACUUUGUCAAUGCAAUAAAAGUUUUGGAAACUGCAUUUAAUAAAUUUCCAUCUUUGAUUACAUCAGAAGAUGUGAAUUUUCUUUUGGAAUUGCAACUGUCUCAAAAAUUCUACAAAGCAGCUGUGAAGAAUUUUGUUCAACAUUGUGGUGUUAAACUUGAAGUGCCUGGGAAAGAAAUUAGUUCCUGUGAAGAAAUAUCUAAUUUCAGUGAGGAGGAUUUCAAUUCAAUUGCAAAGUGCUAUGUGCCCGAAGUCCUGCCAAUAGAUCUGUUUGUGAAAGUUCUUGUUUGCUUGAUUCAUUUGAAAGCACUAACAGCUGUAAAACCUAUGGUAGAAUCACUUAAGAAAGAAAAUGCUGAAGAGAUUGGAGAUUUGUUUUUGGAUGUUGCUGAAGCAUUCAUGGAUAAUAGUGAGCAUCAGUUGGCGACACCUUUACUGCAGAAACUGCUUGCAACUACCAGCUAUGAUUUGCCAGCAGUUUGGAUGAGGUAUGCAGAUUGCAUGUUUAUUACGUCAACUUUAGAAGAUGCAAUAAAAGCUUACCAAAAAGUCAUUAAACUAGCUCCUUCCUAUCAGGAAGCUCGUCUUGCUUUAUCUAAAAUCUAUCUGGAUAUGGGACAGGUUCAGGAAGCUACUAAUGUUUUAAGGCAAGAAUAUGAAGAAGGAGGAGAAGGAUCUGCUGUGGGUAUUGAAGCAUUAUACCAACGUUGUAAAUUGCUGGAAGCUGAAGAAAGAUGGGAGGAGUAUGUUUCUGCUGCAAUUUUGUUGCAGUACAGUCAUUGCGUAUACUUAGAAACAGACGAGGAAUUUAAUGCUGUUUUAACUAAUCAGACUUUAAAGAGAAAAAUUGAAGUUUUGAGGGAACUGAAAUCACAACCUAAGAAAUCUUGCCCUGAAUUUGUUGGACAAAAUAUCUCUGUUACAGAAAUGUGGGACAUCUUUCAGAAAGUGUGUCAGAAACUAUUAGAGAUGAAGCGUUUUGAGGAGCUGCAAACAAUUUCACUUUCCAUUUUGACAUCUUCUAUGUUUAUGAAAAAUCCAGAUUAUGUAAAGGAAAUUGAAUUUCAAGCUCUUCUAAGCUGUGUUUUCAAUAAGAGCCAUUAUUAUGCAUACAUUUUAGUGAAGGACUUAGUUUUGAAGCACAUCAAUAAUCCAAAGGCAUGGAAUUUGUUUGCUCUGAUUGUAACUUACUGCCAAGAGAAUAGGCAUAAUCGAUUUUGUCUCCGUUUGAUGAUGAAGCAUCAAGAUCAUUUAGCAUUAGGAGUUCUUAAUGGCCAUAACGCAAUGAUUUCUGGAACAUAUAAGCAUGCUCUAGGAGAAUACAUGUGCAUAUUAAAGGAAAGACCAAAUGAUGUUUUUGUUACGUUUUGUGUUGGAAUUACUUUUAUUCACAUGGCUUGUCAAAAGUUUGCUACUAAACGACAAUUUCUAAUGAUACAGGGUUUUGCAUUUCUUAGUCAAUAUUUAAAGCUAAAAGGUCCUUACCAAGAAACAUUUUAUAAUAUUGGAAGAGCCCUUCAUCAAUUAGGGAAAGUCACGUUCAAUUUGCCAAACCUAGUUCCUGUUACAUUAGCAACAUGUAAGGCUGCCAGAAGCUAAAAUUUUCAUUUUCAGAAAACAUGAAUCAAUGGGGUCAUUUCCAAAAAAAUUAAAGGUAUCAAAGAUGCUGCUGUCCACUAUUAUAAAAAAGCCUUAAUUGCUCCAGUUAUUAUCAAAGAUCAGGAAGUUUUCGAUCUUAGAAGAGAAAUUGCAUAUAAUUUGUGUCUAAUUUAUCAGUCAGUUGGAGCCAC